UCUCAAGACCUGAGAACAGAAACAUGCUGGACCGUGGAGAAAGAACAGAGGAAUGAGGAAGGUUAUAAUUAAAGCACCAUCAAGAAUGGAGGUCUUCCCAGGAUUCAGUCUUCUACUAAUAAUAGCCUCAUUUCAUUUUCCAGUUGUAAUAUUUUCAAGCUCCAAACCCUGUGGUCACAGGUAAAUACCCCUCAACUCCACCUGCUUUUCUCUUGUUCUGUCCCUUUUUGGAUGUUUGGACACAGUGACAAAACCGAGGCAGGGAGGCCAGUUCUGUGCCAUCUGCCAGUCUGUCUGCAGGUUUGAUCUCAGUUCUUGACAGCCUACCUGAAGGCCCUCCCGAGUUUGGCCCAAAUGAAAAGAAAGCGUGUUGUGAGCACCUGGCCAGCAUAUGAUUUACCAGGAAAGGGGGAUCAUGCAGCAGGAGGAGGGAAGAGGAGAGUCUGCCUGGAGGCCUGACUGGCCAUCUGAGGAGGCUGACGAAAGGAGCUGCACAGGAAAAAUGACAGGCCCCCUGGGAAAGAGGCUGCGGAUGCAUACUUGUCCUCUGAAGGGCAAGGGAAAAAGCCUGAAUGCAGAGAGAGCCAGACUCCCUGGCCCGUGGAAGGCCAUCCAUCAAGGUGGUAAUCACACCAGCAGCAGAGGCAGCCCUUCUUGAUUGCUAGGCCAUGGACCUCGAGGUGGACCUGCCUGUCCUUUGGGCAUCAGAGCCAGAAAAGAAUGCAGAGAAGGCCAGAGAAUGGACCUCAUGAUCUCCCUAACUUCUCUGGAAGUGAAGGGGCUUGGGGGUAAGAGUGAGUGAAAUGGGAACCUCAAGAGACAGAAGGGGUCAAAGCACAGCUCACCUGGGCCCCAGCUGUCCCACGCACAGCGCCCGUCUCCUGGUCUCGAAGACCCCUCUCUUGGGGCAGGUUCCUGGGAGGCUGUGCCGUCAUCCAGGCUGGUGAGAAAACAGCCUCUUUUGGAAGGCGGCUGCCACAGAGCAGCCAGAGCAGGGCUGUGCGUGGGGCUCCUGGCCCAGCAGCAGCAGCGCUGGGAACUCAUCACAAAUGCACAUUCUUGGGCCCUGCCCCCACUGCAUCGGACACCCCGGGGCUGUGAGUGGAUGGACACAGCCCCCCGGGUGAGUCCAAACACGCUAAGAGUUUGAGGACCACUGCCAUCGCCAGUGGCCUGUGUGUGUCAAGAAGGUCCUUUCAGCAGACUCUUUGCAUAACAGCUUUUAUCAAAAAGGCUUUCAUUCUAAAGCAGUAUGUGCUCGUUACAGAAAAAAAAAAGUUUAAUGGAGGAGAGAUGCUCUGAGCCCAGGCAGCUAGUUACCCUAGUACGUCCUAAAAAUGUCUCAGCAUCUCAUGCCUUUUAUUUUUGUCAGGCCAACAUAAUAUAUUCUUUCCCAGAAAUCUACCUUCAUGAAUUCUAAGGAAAUGUUUCAUUUUGUUGACUUCAGAGGACAUGCAGAAGUCUGUGACCCUGAGGAAGUUACCCAAAUAGGGAUCAGAGCAGCCCGAAGAUAGGAGCCACCUUCCUUCAUGAAGUCCAAAGUGUAUGACUUGUCCUUCAAGUGAGUGAGGAGUGUGCGUCCUGGCGAGUGCCGUCAGCUUGCAUUGCUCCCUCUCCCCUCCGCUCGCUCUGCCCUUCACGCCCCAGACAGGUUUCAGAUGGCUGUUUUGUCCCUGACGUUCCUGUACCGUGUGCGUUCCUGUGAAGAUCCUGGCUCUGAAAUGGUGGGGGCCACGGGAGAGAGAGACUGUCACCACAGGGAGAGGCCAAGGGGACCUGGGUCAGGAUGACUUCUCGCAGCUCCUUCUCCAGGAAUGUACAAGAUCGUUACACUGACCAGAUCUCAGACCGAGGCCUACCUGGACAAGUGCACACGGUGUGAAACUCCUCACUAUGCCAUACUGACCCGCUAACCCCGGCGGCAGCAGCUCUGAUACAACUUUGUUGAGUGUAUAACCAUAGCACCUGCACUCAAGGAACCUUUCUUUUUUUUUGUAUUAUUAUUUUUUUUUACAAAUAGUUUAUUGUCAAGUUGGU